UUUUAGCCCAGAUAGUAGCGGCAUCCUUUGGGUUCUUUCUUUAAGAACCUAAAGAUAUAGCGGAUAGCUGGAAUUGCU
rfam:Flavobacterium sp. LPB0076 LPBF02, whole genome shotgun sequence.